AUGCCGGAUGCUCCGACUCCUCGCAUGGGGUGUCGGGAAAGAUUUCAUCGGUAUGGGAUGGGGUCGCGUCCUAUCAGGUAGUCGGCGGGGUAACGGCCCACCGAGCCUACGACGGGUAGCCGGCCUGAGAGGGCGACCGGCCACAUUGGGACUGAGAUACGGCCCAGACUCCUACGGGAGGCAGCAGUGGGGAAUAUUGCACAAUGGGCGCAAGCCUGAUGCAGCGACGCCGCGUGCGGGAUGACGGCCUUCGGGUUGUAAACCGCUUUUGAUCGGGAGCAAGCCUUCGGGUGAGUGUACCUUUCGAAUAAGCACCGGCUAACUACGUGCCAGCAGCCGCGGUAAUACGUAGGGUGCAAGCGUUAUCCGGAAUUAUUGGGCGUAAAGGGCUCGUAGGCGGUUCGUCGCGUCCGGUGUGAAAGUCCAUCGCUUAACGGUGGAUCUGCGCCGGGUACGGGCGGGCUGGAGUGCGGUAGGGGAGACUGGAAUUCCCGGUGUAACGGUGGAAUGUGUAGAUAUCGGAAAA
rnacentral:rRNA from 1 species